rnacentral:lncRNA from 1 species
AUUAGAAAUCAACCGCAUCGAAAGUAAGAACAUGUCUGAGUAUCUGGUGAAUCUUUUAAUUUCAAACCCUGAAAUUCUGCCAAUAGGUAUCGGCAUGAUCAGGUAUCGUGACACAUGUGCUGAAGCCAUUCGUUUCUUCAAAAUGAAAAGCCCUAUUACCGAAAUAUCUGAUGCCUGCAGAAAGUUACUUGAAGUUAGUUGUGAGGAAUUGUUGCCUAGUAUAGUGAAAGGGGAUCAAUCCAAAUCUGUACUCUUUGAUGGUUGUAGACUUGCAUUAGCUUUGAGAAAGAUGAAAAACAGGGAGAUAAUGUGGAAAGUGAUGAGUCAAGUAUGGAUCGAGAUUCUGGCUUAUGCAGCUGCUCACUGCAGAGUGUUCCACCAUUCACAGCAGCUUGGGAGAGGGGGAGAAUUUCUGACUCAUGUUUGGCUUUUGAUGGCACACUUAGGAAUGACAGAGCAUUUCCAGGUAACUCAUGGCCAUGCAAGAGCUAGGUUCAAUGUUUCAUAGGCAUAGCUUGGGAUUAGCAUUUCAUUUGCUUUAAUACUUAUGUAGAUUAACCAUUCUAUUUGUUUGUUUUCUAUUUUCGUAAUUGAAAAAGUUGUGCCUUUCUGCCUAAGUUGGCACACAUUCACUGUCUGUACAUUAAUUAUCCAAUUUUCAUAUUUUUUUGUUCAAAAUUUUAUUGUAUAAUAAUAAUGUUCUUUCAGAAAUUUUUACUCUUGGGUUUCUAAAUAUGUCUUGCGUAAGUGAAAAAGUCAUGAAUGUGUAAUGUUAUAGUGGGUGAUACUGGUUCAAUCUUUUCAAAGUUAUAUCUAGGAAUAUAGUUCAUGUACAACACCUUUCCAAUUUCAUUUUUGCAAAGAGACUGUUUUAUGACUCAAGGAGAGAGCAAUUUCACACAUAAUUAGCUGUAACAAUGUAAGUAAGUGAGGUGAAAAUCUAACACCCAAUAUUAGAGCCCACACUAGGUGGACCUUCACCGGGUGUGUGUAGUGUGUGCUCUACUGCUCUAGAGACCAUGUUUCAGAUACUGACCAACCUCAAUACUGCUCUACUAUGUUAGUUACUACUUAGGGAAAAUGAAUUAAAAGCCCAAUGAAGUUUCCAAACCAUUCAAACAACCUCAAUCAUGUUUUGUAUUAAAAAAAACCCAACGAACUUAACUUUUUGUCUAAAAAAUCCAACAAAGUUCCAAACAGUUCAAAAAAUCCCAAUUUUGUUUUGUUUAAAUUCGUUGGAUUUUUUUUGAACAGUCAAAACAUGAUUGGAGUUCUUUAAACGUUUUGGAAACUUCGUUGGUCUAACAAGUCAUUUUCCCCAUACAGUAAUAAGCUAUGCCAUAUGUUUCUCUUAUUUGACUUUCAGGAAAGUGUAACUUAGUUAAGCUUUUUAGACAAAAGGUUAAGUUUGUUGGGUUUUUUUGAACAGACAAAACAUGAUUGAGUUUCUUUUGAACGGUUUAGAAACUUCAUUGGGCUCGUAAGUCAUUUUCCCUACUACUUAUGAUCAACAUGAUUGUCUUAUCGUUCCAUUUUUUACGACUUGUAAGUUGUAACACACUUGAUAUAUUGUUGAAAACAUGCAUCAAAUUUUGUGUGAUCAACCAUUGAAAUAUUUGGUGGGACAGGUGUAAGGUAAAAAGGGUUGUUGAAUUAGAAGUUGGAUGCAGAGUAUAUGUUUAUGGAUUUUCAAGCUUCUUAAUUAAAAAUUUUAAAAGCUUGUAAAAGUGCACUUAACUUACUGUUUGAAGUCUAAAUUGCAUAACAUGUUCGAUUAGCUCCAGACCUCCAGUAUAUAUUGUAUCGGUUCAUUGAGUUGCCAUCUGGACAGAAUAAAACCUGAGUCAUGUUUCAAGAGUCACAGAAAUUAACCAGUACUUGUAAAAUUAAGAAUAAUGUCUUUUGGGCUUUUCUACUCAAUUCUUUAAAAGCCACAGGCUCUUGAUGCACUAGGGUCACAAUUUUACUACAAGUAAACAAUGAAGAGAACAAAAGAAAGGGAACUUGUGGUGGAUGCAAGUAAAAAACAACUCUAAACCUAUUCUGAAAAUAAGUAACUGAAACGAAACACAGAGUGACUUGAAAUCAAACCUGAAGAUUGAAUUUUGUUUGGAUCAAAAGUAGUUGGCUAUCAUGCUUAUACUCAACAUUAAGACCAGACUAACAGGUGUAUCGUGAUAUAGAGCAGUGGGUGAUUGAUGCCUUAAAAGGCUUAAACUAAACCAGAUGGGUUCGAGAAAACUAUAUCGAUUAUUUUUUUGCUCUCGGUCUGCCUAAACAAGCAGAUAACCGAAAUUCCGCACAUGGGGGGAUACCGGGAUGCUACUAUUCAUGAACGCCGGAAAGCUGAAGUCUACCAUUUAGACAAGAAAACGGUAAAAAAAAACUAGAAAACGGGUGAACAGAAACACUGAAGCAUGAGCUUACAAACCGAAGGUAGCACGGUGUAGAUAAAGAGUUGAUAACUCACAGUUAUGCAGAGGCAAUCUCUGGAUGAACCAUGGGAAGCUGAAACCAUGAAUUAUGAACGUUCGUUUAUACUUCAAGAUGAUAAUAUCUACAACUGUAUUAUAUAGAAAACAACGAAAAAUCAAGCGUUUUUGUCUUUAUGCAUAUAAUACCAAGUCGUGGUUGACCCAAGUCAAGUUUAUCAUUGCUAAUAGUCUAGUCUUUUGAAGCUUUCCGUUAGCUUUCAUCCACCAGGAAAGC